rnacentral:rRNA from 1 species
CCUACGGGCGGCAGCAGUGAGGAAUAUUGGUCAAUGGACGAGAGUCUGAACCAGCCAAGUAGCGUGAAGGAUGACUGCCCUAUGGGUUGUAAACUUCCUUUAUAUGGGAAUAAAAUGUUCCACGUGUGGCAUUUUGUAGGUACCAUGUAGAUAAGGAUCGGCCAACUCCGUGCCAGCCGCCGCGGUAAUACGGAGGAUCCGAGCGUUAUCCGGAUUUAUUGGGUUUAAAGGGAGCGUAGGUGGAUUGGUAAGUCAGGUGUGAAAGUUUGAGGCUCAACCGUAAAAUUGCAGUUGAAACUGGCAGUCUUGAGUACAGUAGAGGUGGGCGGAAUUCGUGGUGUAGCGGUGAAAUGCUUAGAUAUCACGAAGAACUCCGAUUGCGAAGGCAGCUCUCUGGACUGCAACUGACACUGAGGCUCGAAAGUGUGGGUAUCAAACAGGAUUAGAUACCCUUGUAGUC